UACAGAGGGGGCAAGCGUUGUUCGGAAUUACUGGGCGUAAAGGGCGCGUAGGCGGCCUUCUAAGUCGAACGUGAAAUCCCUGGGCUCAACCCAGGAACUGCGUCCGAUACUGGAAGGCUUGAAUCCGGGAGAGGGAUGCGGAAUUCCAGGUGUAGCGGUGAAAUGCGUAGAUAUCUGGAGGAACACCGGUGGCGAAGGCGGCAUCCUGGACCGGUAUUGACGCUGAGGCGCGAAAAGCCAGGGGAGCAAACGGGG
rnacentral:rRNA from 1 species